AUCAAUUUCCUCGGAUUUCACGACCAAUCCACGGAGUGAGUUAGUCUCUUCGACAUCGUCUAUUGCAGACAUUGAAGGUAUUCCCGCAGUUAGCGACGCAGUCCCGUCUCCUCCUGGAAUUCAGUUUCUUACAACUUUCCUCACAGUCUCGGCGAGUGGUACUGCAGCGAACAGUGCAAAUAUCAGCCACCGCUGUUGACACGAUUAUUCCAAUGACCAGCAGGGAAACUAAUAGUUUGAUCUUACAAUUUCUUACAACUGUCCUCACAGCCUCGGCGAACGGUGCUGCAGCGAACAGUGCAAACAUCAGCCACCGCUGUUGACACCAUCAUUCCAACGACCAGCAGGAAAACCAAUAGUUUGAUCUGAAAAUUGAUAUUGAAGGUAUUCCCGCAGUUAGCGACGCAGUCCCGUCUCCUCCUGGCCUUCAGUUUCUUACAACUUUCCUCACAGCCUCGGCGAGCGGUGCUGCAGCGAACAGUGCAAAUAUCAGCCACCGCUGUUGACACGAUCAUUCCAACGACCAGCAGAGAAACCAAUAAUUUGAUCUGAAAAUUGAUAUUGUCUGAAUCGUUUACCAAGUGCAUAAUGAACAUCAAACUAUUGGUUUGUCUGCUGGUCAUUGGAAUGAUCGUAUCAACAGCGGUUUCUGAUAAUUGUACAAAUCGCUGCAAUAUCGCUCGCCGAAACUGUCAGAAAAAAUGUGAAAAAUUGAGUUCUAGUAAGAGGAGACGGGAAUGCACCGCUACCUGCGAGAAUACCGUCACAACCUGCAAUAGACGAUGUCGAAGAAACUGAUUUAAGUCAUUUCCAGCAUAGAUUGUUUGAUUCUAAGAAAGAAUGAUUUGUGUUUGUUUGGGAAUCAAAUAAAA